rnacentral:lncRNA from 8 species
AUGUUUCUAUGCAACACAAGUGCAAUCAAAGACUGGAGCUAUUUCCUCUCUCAGAUCCUGCCACUGAUCAACAAGACGUCUGGCUUGGUCAAUCAGGGCAUCAUCGACGAAGCGGAGGUGGCGACCACCACCAUGGUGACUGCUCUAGAGCCGGACCUGAGCGGGAUAAGCGCCAGUCACCCCCCGCUGAACUCGAAUCACACCUCCGGGAUGGAACAUGUCUUUCAGUACUCGGAGAGUGACCUUCUGUAUACGGACAACAGGACACCAGCCCGGGACUCCAUCCCGCUCCCCAAGGCCGUGCUCUACCUUGUUUGCGCGGCGCUAGUGGUGGUCGCGGUGGUAUAUGCAAUAGUGGGACACCUGGUCAAGGAUCUGGUUACUGAGUUUGUAGCUCCCUAUCUGACACCCCAAUGAUUGAUGUCUUCCAAUCAAGAUCUCUCCCCCACAUGAUGGGGUGGUGUGUGGUGUGUGUGAAUGGCAGGCAGGCAGGCG